GACGAACGCUGGCGGCGUGCCUAAUACAUGCAAGUCGAACGCAGUGGGGACGGGUGAGUAACACGUGGGUAACCUCCCAUCAGAGGGGAUAACACUUGGAAACAGGUGCUAAACCGAUAUUGACGGAUGGACCUGCAGUGCAUUAGCUAGUUGGUGAGGUAACGGCUCACCAAGGCCACGAUGCAUAGCCGACCUGGGAGGGUGAGUGGCCAAGCGAGGACUGAGACACGGCCCAGACUCCUACGGGAGGCAGCAGUAGGGAAUCAUCGGCAAUGGAGGAAAGUCGGACCGAGAAACGCCGCGUGAGUGAAGAAGGUUUUCGGGUCGUAAAACUCUGUUGUUAGAGAAGCGGUAUCUAACCAGAAAGCCACGGCUAACUACGUGCCAGCAGCCGCGGUAAUUC
rnacentral:rRNA from 1 species